rnacentral:tRNA from 1 species
GCGAGCGUAGUUCAACGGUAGAACACUAACUUAGACUCUUCCCUUGAAACAAAACUGCUAAAAUGCAGGUCCGACUCCUGCCGCUCGCG